UAUUGAUGGAGUGAAUUCAGAAAAUCUGAAGAUUAAGAUGAAAAGGUCUCCUGUCUCUAUGUCUGAAGACUGCCUAUACCUCAGCAUCUAUACACCAGCCCAUGCCCAUGAGGGCUCUAACCUGCCUGGUUUCUGAAGCCUCUGAAGUCCACACUUGCAUGAAUAUAUCACAUCUAUUGGAUGACCCUGCAAUUAAGGUUGCAGUCCCUAUGUCUAGAUAAGCUCUCUGAGCCUGCUGCUAAAUGGAAGACUCCCUUUCUCAGUGGGGCUCCCUCUUCUCUACCUGAUCUUAUCUGGAGAGUGUUCUAAGCACAUGGGCCUGACCUUAUCUAGAGGAUGACCCUGCACAAAGCUUUUGGCAAGUGCUGCAUGGUUCAGCACAUAAGUCCCACUCAGCCCUUCCCACCAUAUUAUAAUUAGGUACUGUGGUAUGCCAAUCAGCCCUCUUCACCACUUCCACCCCAUCCCGCCAGGAAACCCAGAAAUCCUCUAAGCAAAGUCAUGUAGCUUAUGUCCAGAUUACAGGUUCAACUUCCUCUCUCCAGAUACAAACUUGUCCAGCAGGUUCUUAGCAUAUUCCUCUUCAUGUAAAUGAAACAUUCCCACCCUAACAAAUUAUGUACAUUCACCCUGGAAAUCCCUACCUACUCCCUGAGAUCUACAUAACACUUGCUCACCCCUAAUAAAGUUGAGCUGUCUCACUGAAGUUGA